GGCUGUAGCUCAGUGGUAGAGCGCUUGCCUAGCAUGUGUGAGGCACUGGGUUCAAUCCUCAGCACCA
rnacentral:tRNA from 1 species